AACGAACGCUGGCGGCAUGCCUAACACAUGCCAGUCGAACGAAGGCUUCGGUCUUAGUGGCGCAAGGGUGCGUAACGCGUGGGAAUCUGCCCUUUGGUUCGGUAUCCCAGCUGUAAACGGCUGCUAAUACCGGAUGAUGACGAAAGUCCAAAGAUUUAUCGCCAGAGGAUGGGCCCGCGUUGGAUUAGGUAGUGGGUGGGGUAAAGGCCUACCAAGCAGACGAUCCAUAGCUGGUCUGAGAGGCUGAUCAGCCACACUGGGACUGAGACACGGCCCAGACUCGUACGGGGGGGAGGAGUAGGGAAUAUUAGGCAAUGGGCGCAAGCCUGAUCAAGCAGUGCCGCGGGAGUGAUGAAGGCGCCAGGGUUGUAAAGCUCUUUUACCCGGGGAGAUAAUGACUGUACCGGGAGAAUAAGCCCCGGCUAACUCCGUG
rnacentral:rRNA from 1 species